UUCCAGACUCCUACGGGAGGCAGCAGUGAGGAAUAUUGGUCAAUGGCCGAAGGGCUGAACCAGCCAAGCCGCGUGAAGGAAUAAGGCCCUACGGGUCGUAAACUUCUUUAGUCAGGGAACAAAGGGUGCCACGUGUGGCGCUGUGAGUGUACCUGAAGAAUAAGCAUCGGCUAACUCCGUGCCAGCAGCCGCGGUAAUACGGAGGAUGCGAGCGUUAUCCGGAUUUAUUGGGUUUAAAGGGUGCGCAGGCGGAAGAUCAAGUCAGCGGUAAAAUUGAGAGGCUCAACCCCUUCGAGCCGUUGAAACUGGUUUUCUUGAGUGAGCGAGAAGUAUGCGGAAUGCGUGGUGUAGCGGUGAAAUGCAUAGAUAUCACGCAGAACUCCGAUUGCGAAGGCAGCAUACCGGCGCUCAACUGACGCUCAUGCACGAAAGUGUGGGUAUCGAACAGGAUUAGAUACCCCGGUAC
rnacentral:rRNA from 1 species